AAAAAGACAAACCCUGGGUUUCCGUGUCCAACGUUUGACUGUCCGUUUUAUAUGAAAUUUUUUUAUAAUCAGUAUUUUUAUUGAUGUUAUGUGAUAAAACAUGAUUAAUACUUUAUGUAUGACUUAUCUUUUUAAUUUUUUUCAUAAUUUUUUCAAAUAAGAUGGACGGUCAAAAGUUGGACACGGAAACCCAGGGUUUGUCUUUUU
rnacentral:pre_miRNA from 1 species